rnacentral:lncRNA from 1 species
UGGACACAAAGACACACAGGGAGAAAAAGGUCAUGUGACUAUGGAGAUAGAGAUUGGAAUGAUGCCUAUAAGCCGAGAACACCAAGAAGCCAGGAAAAAGGCAUCAGACAAUUUUUCCCUGAGAACCUCCAGAAAAUCAACACCUUGAUUUUGGACUUCUGGCCCCCUGAACUUCUCAGGUAUGUCUUUAUCAGCAGUGUGAAAACAUACUAAUAUAGCAGGAAAGCCAGCCCAGGUGGAGAUCCAGCCCAAACCUGAAGGCCAGAGACCCAGGGGAGCCAAUGGCGACAAUCUCCAUCUGAGCCAGAAGGCCUAACAAUAGGGAGUACCAGUGUCUGAGGACAGGAGGAGAUGGAUGUCCUGGCUCCAGCGGAGAGAGAUGCCAUUCCAAGAAAACCAUGGAAGCAGAAAAGAGGAAAGCAGAAACACAGAUGAAGCAAGAGGCUAUGUCCUCUGUGCAUGGAGACAGCAGAUCUAUUAGUAGACAGGAUGAAGAGAAAAGGUGUGAAGAAAAGCCACAUGGCUGAUGUGACAAGGAAGAAAGUGGGUCUCUCAGCUCUUCCCUUCUUGUUUUUGCCCUUUUCCCAGUACCAAGAAAUGUAUUUUUGGGGGCCACAUUCUUCCCACCAUAAUUUAGAAGGAUGCUGUUGCCAGGUUUGAAGACCACUUGAAACAAUAAUUGUUGUUAUUCUGCUAUACUCACCAAGAAUGACAAAACUAUUUACAUACUGGGGAUAGCGUGCUAGAAAAAUUGCUAAACAAAUAGUAUUUUUUCCUUCCAUAAAAUCAGAGUUGUAAAGAGCAAUAUAUUAGGCAUUUUCUUUGCCAGAGAACUUUAGCUAUGAUUUUCUGCUUCUUUAAAAUUCAUAUUAAUGAUCGUAGAUACCAGGUAUCUAAGGGAAAGACUCUUUGCAACAUCUUCUAUAUAUACCCUGGGUGUUUCUGUAUUGAAUUUACUUAAGAUUUAGGCUCUACAGUUUGAUCUCAAUCAUGUAAAAAUAUAUAGCAAGAAGGCUCCUGGGACAAAAACUGAAAUGUUUAUUAUUAAUUUUCUCUGGGCAUUGAAAUUCUGGAUGAUUUUAUUUUUUCAUACUUCUUUCUAUUUUCCAUAUAUUUUACAAUCUGUAUUCAUAGCUUCAAAAAUAAAAUAGUUGCUGUGAAUAAUCACUCUAUGUAAG